GGCGGCAUGCUUUACACAUGCAAGUCGAACGGUAACAGGCCGCAAGGUGCUGACGAGUGGCGAACGGGUGAGUAAUGCAUCGGAACGUGCCCAGUCGUGGGGGAUAACGCAGCGAAAGCUGCGCUAAUACCGCAUACGAUCUAUGGAUGAAAGCGGGGGACCGUAAGGCCUCGCGCGAUUGGAGCGGCCGAUGUCAGAUUAGGUAGUUGGUGGGGUAAAGGCUCACCAAGCCAACGAUCUGUAGCUGGUCUGAGAGGACGACCAGCCACACUGGAACUGAGACACGGUCCAGACUCCUACGGGAGGCAGCAGUGGGGAAUUUUGGACAAUGGGCGCAAGCCUGGUCCAGCAAUGCCGCGUGCAGGAAGAAGGCCUUCGGGUUGUAAACUGCUUUUGUACGGAACGAAACGGUCUGAGUUAAUACCUCGGGCUAAUGACGGUACCGUAAGAAUAAGCACCGGCUAACUACGUGCCAGCAGCCGCGGUAAUACGUAGGGUGCAAGCGUUAAUCGGAAUUACUGGGCGUAAAGCGUGCGCAGGCGGUGAUGUAAGACAGUCGUGAAAUCCCCGGGCUCAACCUGGGAAUUGCGAUUGUGACUGCAUCGCUGGAGUGCGGCAGAGGGGGAUGGAAUUCCGCGUGUAGCAGUGAAAUGCGUAGAUAUGCGGAGGAACACCGAUGGCGAAGGCAAUCCCCUGGGCCUGCACUGACGCUCAUGCACGAAAGCGUGGGGAGCAAACAGGAUUAGAUACCCUGGUAGUCCACGCCCUAAACGAURUCRACUGGUUGUUGGGUCUCUUCUGACUCAGUAACGAAGCUAACGC
rnacentral:rRNA from 1 species